GUGAUUUCCGGUUGUUGCUGUUUAAUCAUUUUGUUUUUCGGUUAUUGAUUUGUACAUAGUUCAGGUCCUUAGUUUUCUCGUAUGAAUUGUUUUACAUUUGUCAUUUAGAAACCAUUUAUAGCUUACGAUGCGAUAUGAGUUUUGCUAAUUGCUAAAGGUAUUGCGGUUACCUAUUGUUAUAACUUCUUUGUCGUUUAGGGAGCUACCAUGCAUUUGAUUUUUAUGGGGGCUAGGAUGAAAUUUGAAAAAAUAGGCAGGACAGGAAUUUUGAGUAAAAAAAAAGGCAGGAUGAGACACUUGCAAAAAAAAAAAGUCAGGAUGACAAUUUAGGUAAAAAAAAGUCAGGAUAAACUAAAAAAAAAAAGGCAGAACCAAAUAGAGUGAAAAAAAUAAAAAGGCAGGACAGAAAUUACAACUAAAAAAAAAUGCAGGACAAAAUUUUUCAUCCUAGCCCCCCCAUAAAAAUCAAAUGGUAGCUCCCUUAGUCUAU
rnacentral:lncRNA from 1 species